GUGUGGCUUACGCCACCGAAGUAACCUGGACCCGGGCCCGGCCCGGCGAGAUCACUGACUACAUGGCCUCCGAGCUGGGGCUGCUGAAGGUGCUGGAGACCUUCGUGGCCUGCCUCAUCUUCGUGUUCAUCAAUAGCCCCUACGUGUACCACAACCGGCCGGCCCUGGAGUGGUGGGUGGCGGUGUACGCCCUCUGCUUCGUCCUGGCGGCCCUCACUAUCCUGCUGAGCCUGGGGCACUGCACCAACAUGCUGCCCAUCCGCUUCCCCAGUUUCCUGUUGGGGCUGGCCUUGCUGUCCGUCCUCCUCUAUGCCACUGCCCUUGUCCUCUGGCCCCUCUACCAGUUCAACGAGAAGUAUGGUGUCCAGCCCUGGCAGACGAGAGAUGUGAGCUGCAGCGACAGAAACCCCUACCUUCAACCUCAAUAGGCUUGUAUCCUGGGAGACAGAAUGUGUUUCUGGUCACUCAUUCUAACCCAAGAAAUCAAGGAAAAUAACAGACUUCCACAGAAGCUAGACUGACCAGGCGAUACUGUGACCGGGCAAGCAUGGCUUUUGACAGUAAAUCCCGGAGAGGAACAGAGAGAUGCAGAUACUUGAUCAUUCUUUGCCUAUAAACACAAUGGUUACAUACCCCCAGAUCUGACCUUGCUGUAGAUCCAUCUGAAAGGAAGGAAUCAAGCCUCUGUGUUCCUGAAGUCAGGUCCUUUUCACUCCCAAAAACACAGGUUCAUUUGCGGUGGGUCUGAGGCUAGGUGCUCUGGGUUAUCUAGUGCUUCCUGAAGCCCUAGUUUUGAA
ensembl:lncRNA MYADML myeloid associated differentiation marker like (pseudogene)